GGCUUUGCUUUGUCUUCCCGAGUAGCUGUUCCCUUCCCGGAAUAGACAAUCAGGAGAGGGGACGCCACCUGUCACACACUGGGUGCUGGAACCCGCGCCACUGCGGCUCGCGUUGCUGUGGUUGGUGAUGGCGAUGGAAACUGCAGCGUGGCUCGAGUGCAGAAGAGAAACUGUCUUUUAAAUCUGUCUGCUUGGAUAAAGUCAAAGGAGCCUUUACAGAAAGCACGUUCACACAGACUGGCUAAUGAGACCCCACACUGAAGAAGCCUAGAACUUCCACAGACUCCCUGAAACCUAAGUCCUCAUUUUUAACAUACAGCUUUUAAUACGAGCUUCAUAAGUCCCGGAUCCCUGCAAAGUUAAUAGAGUUCCCUGGCCCCUUCUAUGUUGAGACAUGGUGAAAAAGCAGCCUCUAUCAACCAGAAAGCAGACUCUUUCAGCCACAACAAUGAACCAUUUCUUUGAUUGGAUUGUGAUGUGACGAAAAGUGGAUUUUAUACGACAACCGGCAAUGACCAGCUCAGUGGUUGGACCAAGAAGACUCUCCAAGGCACUUCCCAAAGCCAAACUUGCACCAAAAAAGGUUAUGGUCACUAUUUGGUGGUCGUCGGCUCGUCUGAUCCACUGCAGCUUUCUGAAUCCCAGUGAAACCAUUGCAUCUGAGGAGUGUGCUCAGCAAAUUGAUGACAUGCACUGAAAACUCCAGCGCCUGCAGGCAGCAUUGAUCAACAGAAAAGCCCAAUUCUUCUUCCUGACAGCACCUGACCACAUGCCACACAACUCAUGCUUUAAAAGUUGAACAAAUUGGGCUACGAAGUUUCAUCUCAUCUGCCGUAUUCACCUGAUCUCUCGCCAACUGACUACUACUUAUUCGAGCAUCUUGACAACCCUUUGCAGGGAAAAUGCUUUCAGGACCAGCAGGAUGCAGAAAAUGCUUUCAAGAGUUUAUUGAAUCCUGAAGAAUGGAUUUUUACACUAUAGAAAUAAACAGACUGGGCGCAGUGGCUCACGCCUGUAAUCUCAGCACUUUGGGAGGCCAAGGCAGGCAGAUCACCUGAGGUCAGGAGUGCGAGACCAGCCUGACCAACAUGGAGAAACCCCGUCUCUACUAAAAAUACAAAAUUAGCCAGGCAUGGUGGUGCAUGCCUGUAAUCCCAGCUACUUGGGAGGCUGAGGAAGGAGAAUCACUUGAACCCAGGAGGCGGAGGUUGUGAGCUGAGAUUGCACCACUGCAUUCCAGCCUGGGCAGCAAGAGUGAAAGUCCAUCUCGGAGAAAAAAAAAGGAAAAAGAAAAGAAAAAAAAAAACUUAUUUCUCAUUGGCAAAAAUGUGUUUGUUGUAAUGGUUCCUAUUUUGAUUAAUAAAGAUGUUUGAGCCUAGUUAUAAUGAUUUAAAAUUCACAGUCCAAACCGCUGUUACUUUUGCACCAACCUAAAAAUACUUGUAUACGUGUGAAAAAUGCCAGACUUUCAAGGCAGGAGAUGUGUGACAGAUGUGAAGGGAUUUCUUGAGAGGUUUUUAGGAAGCCUUUGGAAGCAGUUCUUAUCUCAGACAUGCAAGCAUGAGCCUCCUCUUUUGUGCAUUCCCAGCCCUGUUUUGUCAGGGUCUGAAAAGAGUGAUUCCAUCCUGGUAUGUGCAAUUCUCACAGCUUGUAUAGAUAAAAUUUUGCAACUGUGCAAAUAUUUCUGCAGAGUAAAUAUCUAGGAAUAGAAGAGGUAGUUCAAAAAGUAAACACAUUUGAAAUUCUAAUAACUAUUGUCAACAGCCCUCCUCAGUGCUGGUACUAAUUACACUUCUAAGAGCUGUGUAUGACGGGAGCUGUUUUCCCUCACCCUCACCAGAAGUACUUUUUUAUAUUUUUCAGUUUUCCUACUUGAUAAGUGAGCAGUGAUUUCUUAGUAUUGUUUUAAUUUGAAUUUUUUUAUUAUGAGCAAAGUCGAGCAUCUUUUCUGAUGAUUAAAAUGCUGUUGUAUUUCUUUUUCUGUUAACUGUUGUUCUGGUCAUUUUUUCUAUUGGAUUGUUGGUUUUUUCCUUAUGGAUUUCUAGAGGCACACUGUUUUACUCAUAGUUCGUCUUUUGACAUUAUUUACAGUGUUUUCAUCAUAUAGGCUUAGUUUUUUUUUUGAAUCAGGGUCUUACUCUGUUGCCCUAGAUGGAAUGCAAUGGCACAAUCAUGGGUCAUUGCAACCUCCUAUCUCCCAGGCUCAAGUAAUCCUCCUGCCUCAGCCUCUCAAGCAGCUGGGAAUACAGGUGUGGGCCACCACGCCCAGCUAAUUUUUGUAUUUUUUGUUUGUAGAUACGGGGCUUCACCGUGUUUCCCAGGCUAGUCUCGCAAUCCUGGGCACAAGUGUUUCACCCACCUCAGCCACCCAAAGUGCUGGGAUUAUAGAUGUGAGCCACUGUGCCCAGCCAACAAUUUUUAUAAUGACCUGUGGAUUGUGUAUCAUGCAGUUGGCCCUCUGUAUCUGUGGGUUCUGCAUCCAAACUAUGGAUUGAAAAGGUUCCAAAAAAAUCAAACAAUAAAAAUAAUGCAAAUUUUAAAACAAUACAUUAUAACAACUAUUCACAUAGUACUUACACCAUAUUAGGUAUUAGAAGUAAUCCUUAUAAGUAUAGAGAUGAUUUAAUGUUCAUAGGUUAUAUGCAAAUACUGCACCAUUUUAUAUGAGAUUUGAGGCCAGGCGCGGUGGCUCACGCCUGUAAUCACAGCACCUUGGGAGGCUGAGGUGGGUGGAUCACGAGGUCAGGAGAUUGAGACCAUCCUGGCUAACACAGUGAAACCCUGUCUCUUCCAAAAAAAAAAAAAAAAUUACAAAAAAUUAGCCGGGCGUCGUGGCGGGCACCUGUAAUCCCAGCUACUUGGGAGGCUGAGGCAGGAGAAUGGCGUGAACCCGGGAGACAGAGCUUGCAGUGAGCCAAGAUUGCACCACUGCACUCCAGCCUGGGCGACAGAGCCAGACUCCGACUUAAAUAUAUAUAUAUAUAUUUGAGCAUCAUGGACUUUAGUAUCUGAGGGAGAUCCUGGAACAAAUGUGCCACGUACACAGAGGAACAACUGUAAUCAGAAAGGCUUUUCCCAUUUGCUAUGGUUUGAAUGUAUCUCUCAAAGUUCAUGUGUUGGAAACUUAAUCCCCGAUGCAAGUGUCGAGAAGUGGGACUUUUAAGAGGUGAUCAGGCUAUGAUGAGUCUGCCCUCAUGAGUGGAUUAAUAGUGUCGUUUUGGGAUGAGUUCCUGACAAAUAGAUGAGUUCACCUCCUUCCUCUCGUACUCUCUCAUGUGUGCUUUUGUGCCCUUCUGUCCUUCUACCAUGGGAUGACACAGGAAGAAGGUCCUAGCCAGA